CCGACUCCGGGAAAUUUUCAGGUUGCGACUCCGACUCCGACUCCGGGAAAUUUUAAGGUUGCGACUCCGACUCCGACUCCGACUCCGGGAAAUUUUAAGGUUGCGACUCCGACUCCGACUCCGACUCCGGGAAAUUUUAAGGUUGCGACUCCGACUCCGACUCCGGGAAAUUUUAAGGUUGCGACUCCGACUCCGACUCCGACUCCGGGAAAUUUUAAGGUUGCGACUCCGACUCCGACUCCGACUCCGGGAAAUUUUAAGGUUGCGACUCCGACUCCGACUCUGGGAAAUUUUAAGGUUUCGACUCCGACUCCGACUCCGA